UACAGAGGUCCCGAGCGUUGUUCGGAUUCACUGGGCGUAAAGGGUGCGUAGGUGGCUGGGGAAGUUUGAUGUGAAAGCUCAGGGCUUAACCCUGAAAUGGCAUUGAAUACUGCCUGGCUGGAGGUUUGGAGGGGGGACUGGAAUUCUUGGUGUAGCAGUGAAAUGCGUAGAUAUCAAGAGGAACACCAGUGGCGAAGGCGAGUCCCUGGACAACACCUGACACUGAGGCACGAAAGCCGGGGGAGCAAACAGG
rnacentral:rRNA from 1 species